rnacentral:rRNA from 1 species
AUUAGCUAGUUGGUAGGGUAAUGGCCUACCAAGGCAACGAUGAGUAGCUGGUCUGAGAGGAUGAUCAGCCACACUGGAACUGAAACACGGUCCAGACUCCUAUGGGAGGCAGCAGUGGGGAAUAUUGCGCAAUGGGCGAAAGCCUGACGCAGCAACGCCGUGUGAGGGAUGAAGGCUUUCGGGUCGUAAACCUCUGUCGGAAGGGAAGAACGGGCAUUGGUCUAAUAGGCCUUUGUUUUGACGGUACCUUUAGAGGAAGCACCGGCUAACUCCGUGCCAGCAGCCGCGGUAAUACGGAGGGUGCAAGCGUUAUUCGGAAUUACUGGGCGUAAAGCGCACGUAGGCGGCCUUGUAAGUCAGGGGUGAAAUCCCACGGCUCUACCGUGGAACUGCCUUUGAAACUGCAGGGCUUGAAUCCUGGAGAGGGUGGCGGAAUUCCUGGUGUAGGAGUGAAAUCCGUAGAUAUCAGGAGGAACACCGGUGGCGAAGGCGGCCACCUGGACAGGUAUUGACGCUGAGGUGCGAAAGUGUGGGGAGCAAACAGGAUUAGAUACCCUGGUAGUCCACACCGUAAACGAUGGAUACUAGGUGUCGGGGACUUGAUCUUCGGUGCCGUAGCUAACGCGUUAAGUAUCCCGCCUGGGGAGUACGGUCGCAAGGCUGAAACUCAAAGAAAUUGACGGGGGCCCGCACAAGCGGUGGGAGUAUGUGGUUUAAUUCGAUGCAACGCGAAGAACCUUACCUAGGCUUGACAUCCUGGGAAUCCUGCAGAGAUGCGGGAGUGCCCUUCGGGGAUCCAGAGAA